AUACGUAGGGUGCGAGCGUUGUCCGGAAUUACUGGGCGUAAAGAGCUCGUAGGUGGUUUGUCGCGUCGUCUGUGAAAUUCCGGGGCUUAACUCCGGGCGUGCAGGCGAUACGGGCAUAACUUGAGUACUGUAGGGGAGACUGGAAUUCCUGGUGUAGCGGUGAAAUGCGCAGAUAUCAGGAGGAACACCGGUGGCGAAGGCGGGUCUCUGGGCAGUAACUGACGCUGAGGAGCGAAAGCAUGGGUAGCGAACAGGAUUAGAUACCCUGGUAGUCCAUGCCGUAAACGGAGGGCGCUAGGUGUAGGGGUCUUCCACGACUUCUGUGCCGUAGCUAACGCAUUAAGCGCCCCGCCUGGGGAGUACGGCCGCAAGGCUAAAACUCAAAUGAAUUGGCGGGG
rnacentral:rRNA from 1 species